rnacentral:rRNA from 1 species
CCUACGGGUGGCUGCAGUGGGGGAUAUUGCACAAUGGGGGAAACCCUGAUGCAGCGACGCCGCGUGAGUGAUGAAGUAUUUCGGUAUGUAAAGCUCUAUCAUCAGGGAAGAAAAUGACAGUACCUGACCAAUAAGCACCGGCUAACUACGUGCCAGCAGCCGCGGUAAUACGGAGGGGGCAAGCGUUAUUCGGAUUUACUGGGCGUAAAGGGAGCGUAGACGGUUAUGUAAGUCUGGGGUGAAAGCCCGGGGCCCAACCCUGGGACUGCAUUGGAAACUGUGUAACUGGAGUACAGGAGGGGUAGGCGGAAUUCUUGGUGUAGCGGUGAAAUGCGUAGAGAUCAAGAGGAACACCGGUGGCGAAGGCGGCCUGCUGGACGGAAACUGACGUUGAGGCUCGAAAGCGUGGGGAGCAAACAGGAUUAGAUACCCCAGUAGUC